AGCGCAAACUAUUUAGGCGGAGUUAACCCAAAUUGGAGCAAAAACUAACAGAAAAAGAGCUAUAUUAAUAAAAUUCAACAAAGAUUUUGCAUUAAUGUUAGACCAAUAACACAAUGCACUGAUCUAUUUACAAAAGGGCCCACUCCCAAUUCACUCAUAAGGAUAAGACAACAAACAGGAUUCUUGUAACUAAUCACCACGGAUUUAAAUCACGGUCGCAGUUGUGGUCAAUGAAAGCAGACUUGUAAAGGCCGUAAUAAUGGUCCUUCGCUACACAAAUUUGUUUGAAAAGUUGCAAAGUUCAUGAAAUGGAUAGAUAUUUAAAGUUAUAAUUAAAACUAAAAUACACAACUAAAUAUUAAGCAGAAAUACAUCAAAUAAAGACAUUA
rnacentral:misc_RNA from 1 species